UUAAGUAUGCUCAUUCUAGCAAACUAAUAACUGCUGAUCAUAUUUAUUUACGGCGCUUUUCACUGUGUUACGUGUUUAUAGCUACUUUGACUAGAGAAGGAUAUGGAGUAGGAUCUUUGGCCAUACUACUUUUGAUUUAAUUUGAUACCCAUGCCACCGACCUUCAUGUUGUAGUAUUUGACUUAUUGGAUCCCAAAUUUUCACUCGAAAUGUAUGACAUUGAAAGGCUGAUCUACAUAUUGUUUCUACUUUUAGGAAGUCCUGGAGAAUUAUUGGAUGUAUGGUGUUACCUACUAGUCACCGGUUGCUUACUCAAGGUCCAGUUGCUCAAUAUAUUAUGUUUUGAUGGCAGACUCUUGGAUCAUAAUCUAGCAUAUUGCUUCGGUGCUACUUUAGGUACUCUUCAAAACACCAUGUCCAUGUCUGCCCAAGAGAAUUGUCAAUAUACUGCAAUAUCAUGUGAUUGGAGUUUCCUCAAUUCUUACAUUUGCCAUCCAUUUCUGAAAUCGGGGAGAUGUAAUGAAGAACUAGUGAGAUGACAGAAUCAACGUAUGGUUUGUUUAGGUUGCACGCGCGAGUAAUGUGAAACCUUAUCUUGCAAUUAAAUUAUGGUGUCGAUUAGACAGAAGUUUUGACUUGCUCUCUUAUUUUGAUGUGUGUUGGAUAUCAAGUAAAUGUCAAGCAAUCAUGCAACAAAUAGUACUUCCAUAUUUAUUUAGACCAACAAAUAGUACCUUGAUUUGUUUUACUGCUGCUAUGCAUACCUGUGAUUUUUUUCAUUGCAGCCACCAACAUGAUAGCCGAUGUGCAAAUUAUGUUCCUCGACCCACAUAUCAGGGAUUUUUUUACAAUAAUAACAACAACAAUAUAAAGCAGUUUUGUGUGCGCACAUUACUUUUAUUUUCUUUAGGGCAGUACCACAUGCUCCAUAUUUUCAUGUUUUAAUUUUGUGUACUCCGUAUAAUAUUAUACAUUAGUUUGUCGGUUCAUAUAAUGAUAUGGGUGGAAGUGUUUGCCUGAAAUGAAACCAGUAAUUAUAAUAACUCCAGUUUGCAUUAGAACAAUUAAGAAUUUUUUAGUUUAAUUUAGAUCAUUUUUUCAAUGUCUGAAGGCUACCCUAGAGACCUACACUCACCCUUGUGUUACCUCCUUCAUUGUCAAACUGACUUUCCUAUAUUUCUUUGUCCAUAUGAUGACAGCUUUAACUUCUCACUGGGUGAUAUGUGAAGGAAAGGUCAGGAAGAGGAUUCAGGAUUGUCCAACCCAACUGGAACUAUCAUCAGCUGUGUUCUGAAAUUACCAGCACAAAUGGGCUAGGAAAUGUCCUGCGGCAUCCCAGUAGUGGAUCUUGUGAGUGGUGGGUACUGUAUAAAUUUGUCUGGCAUGGCUGUAUUCCUCCUGAUGUCAUGCAGCCGUCACCCUUCUCCAAGCCUGCUUCUUUAUACCUCUUGACCAUUGUUAUAAUCGCCCAACAAGUUGCAGAGUGUUCAGUGGAGUUGUGGCAAAGUACAAGGCGCAUCACUUGGAGAUGAAGCCACUCAAGCUCCUUUUCACCCAUCCAUUCUGUGCUCAUUGUUUGCAAACUGCUUCGUCAAAAAAGACAUUUAUCAAUCAUCUCAGAUUACUUCCCUGGCUCAGUUAGCAAGAGACAGCAAUGAUUUGGCAGACAUCACUGUUAUGACUGUGACACUAAGCUGCUGAGUGUCGAGUACUUCGGUAAAAUAGCUCCUGCUAAGCUGCAGCCCAAUUGGCAAGAGACAAAUCUUCGUACGCAGAGAAGUCAUCUGACAGGAAGGACUUGGGUACGUGGAUCGAUGCAGUAUGGAUAAGCUGCAUGCUAAUCUCUUCAAUGAUAUGGUAACCACUACUACUCCCUAAAAUUUGGUGAGAUCCUUAUCUGGGUACAAGCAUAACAACCCUCUUGAUCAUCAGAAUCUUGCAGUAAGUAUCCUAACAGCUCAAUCUGUGCUCUCAUAGAAAAGAAAUAAAGGAGAGAUCGAGAUGAUAGUUAAUCAUUUCAUGGUGCACACACUCAUGCAAACACUACUCGCUGCACUUUCCUUCUACUUUUCUCUACCUCUAGCCCUUCUCUUUAGGAAGGAUUCUAAUGCAUGCUCUGUCUCUUUAUGGCAGGCCAUGUCCAUGUAAGAUUAGGCAAAGUCCAUGCACCACUUGAGCUGGUGCAUGCAUUUGUGGCGUGGUGCUGCUAGUGGUGGCGUGGCAGCAGCAGCACACACACGUAGAGGUGGGACUACCUAACCCCUGGACCUGGAGAGAGCGGCCCACGGAUCAUACGGAGCUUCUCUGGGGCCAUCUGCUCGGGUGACGUCCUGAUGACGCAGUUCCGCAUCUGCAUCCCUGUUUGAUAAAGCAAGGGAAACAUCAGCUCGACAGGAUCUCCAGCGGCAGUACGAGUGUCCUCACACUUUUAGCUCAGCAUGUUUUUCAUUCUUGUUCUUAUUCUUACGUUAGGACUUAAGUAAUCCUGCCUCUGCAUUCUCAUGUAACUUUUUAAGUUGAUAGACAGAUCGCACAUUGCUGGGUGCCUGAAUUAAAAUCUCUAGCCACCAACUACGCCCCUGAAUUAAUUAACAGAUGUGAUGAUACUAA